CAAGAAAUGAGCGUCCCAGGUGUGCCAUGCAGUGGGAGCUGCAAGCUGCACCUCUUGCUGAAGACAGUGACACAAGGAGCUGACAAAGAGAAGAACCCAGGGACUGCAGGAAGCCCUGAGGCAGCUGAAGGGACAUGCUUUUGGAAGGUGGAUUGACAGUCUCGUCUCUCUGCAAGAUAAGUGGGGGACUCUGAGGCAGAGAGGGGAUGAGAGCUGGGUACAGGCUUGGGAAUUGCCAUGAGGGCUUUUGAAAUCAGCGUAGGGAACGGAAUGUUUAAGAUGAAGUCCCCUAGGAGAGGGAAGCAGAGAGGCUGAGUAUUACAGGCAGCACUAGGGUGUGCAGGGCAGAGCAUAGCAUAUCCCCCAUGUAACAUUUUUGUGAGUCUGUCUUUGCAGUUCUUACAGGUCCUUCUUGUCAGAGGUCAUUGUGUGAACCUCUCUUUGUUCUU